ensembl:lncRNA
AAUAGUUCCUGCACCGUGCACCUUCACCGCGUUGCCCCAUUGCGCUCCAGCCCCUGGGCUACGCUGUUCCCUGGGGUGAUGCCCGCUUGCCUCCAUGUUGUGCUUGGGUGGCCAAGACUGAGGUAUCAAGGCCCUUCCAGGAAGUCUAUGAGAAUAAAAUACUGAAGAUGAGAUGUAUGAUGGCUAGCUGUCUUCUUACCAUGUGCCUGAUCCACAAAUAACAGAAGAAUGAAGACAACUGAAAAAAAGUACAGUUCUGAUCAGAACAGCAUUGUGUUGUUGAAUGUCAGCUGACUGUCAAAUAGUCUUUCUCUUCUUGUUCCUUAUUACCUUCAAUUCAUGUAGGUUUCUAAAUUUCUGUUCUAUAUUUUUACUUCCUAUUGUGCUUUCCAAGUCUUCUGCAAUUAAGCG